rnacentral:tRNA from 1 species
GUUAGGGUGGCAGAAAUAUGCGUCAAAUUUAAGCUUUGAAGAUGAGAGUUUUCUCUCCUGAUA